rnacentral:rRNA from 1 species
GGUACGGGGGGGGCAAGCGUUAAUCGGAAUUACUGGGCGUAAAGGGCUCGUAGGCGGCCAACUAAGUCCGAACGUGAAAUCCCCAGGCUUAACCUGGGAACUGCGUCGGAUACUGGAUGGCUUGAGGUUGGGAGAGGGAUGCGGAAUUCCAGGUGUAGCGGUGAAAUGCGUAGAUAUCUGGAGGAACACCGGUGGCGAAGGCGGCAUCCUGGACCAAUUCUGACGCUGAGGAGCGAAAGCCAGGGGAGCAAACGGG